rnacentral:rRNA from 1 species
GACGUAGGGCGCGAGCGUUGUCCGGAUUUAUUGGGCGUAAAGAGCUCGUAGGCGGCUCGUUGCGUCGGCUGUGAAAACCCGCAGCUCAACUGUGGGCUUGCAGCUGAUACGGGCGGGCUGGGAUUCGGUAGGGGAGACUGGAAUUCCUGGUGUAGCGGUGAAAUGCGCAGAUAUCAGGAGGAACACUGGUGGCGAAGGCGGGUCUCUGGGCCGAUAUCGACGCUGAGGAGCGAAAGCGUGGGGAGCGAACAGG